rnacentral:piRNA from 1 species
AGGAGAAGCUGGCUGAACUGAAAA